GGGCCCGUAGCUCAACCUGGACAGAGCGAUUGGCUUCGGACCAAUAGGUUGCGGGUUCAAAUCCCGUCGGGCCCG
rnacentral:tRNA from 1 species